rnacentral:rRNA from 1 species
GAGUUUGAUUCUGGCUCAGGAUGAACGCUGGCGGCGUGCUUAACACAUGCAAGUCGAACGGGCGGAUUAUAUCGGAGGUCUUCGGGCCGAAGAGAUAAUAAGCUAGUGGCGGACGGGUGCGUAACGUAUGGGUAAUCUGCCUUUGUCAUAGGAAUAACUGCUUGAAAAAGUAGCUAAUACCAAAUAACAUAUCGUAUAGGCAUCUAUAAGAUAUCAAAGAGAAAUCGGACAAAGAUGAGCCCGCAUCUGAUUAGCUGGUUGGUAGGGUAAAAGCCUACCAAGGCGACGAUCAGUAGCCGGCCUGAGAGGGUGAGCGGCCACAUUGGAACUGAGACACGGUCCAAACUCCUACGGGAGGCAGCAGUGGGGAAUAUUGCACAAUGGGGGGAACCCUGAUGCAGCAACGCCGCGUGAGUGAAGAAGGCUUUCGAGUCGUAAAACUCUGUUGUAAGGGAAGAUAAUGACG